rnacentral:rRNA from 1 species
AGUGAACGCUGGCGGUAGGCCUAACACAUGCAAGUCGAACGGCAGCACAGUAAGAGCUUGCUCUUACGGGUGGCGAGUGGCGGACGGGUGAGGAAUACAUCGGAAUCUACUUUUUCGUGGGGGAUAACGUAGGGAAACUUACGCUAAUACCGCAUACGACCUACGGGUGAAAGCAGGGGAUCUUCGGACCUUGCGCGAUUGAAUGAGCCGAUGUCGGAUUAGCUAGUUGGCGGGGUAAAGGCCCACCAAGGCGACGAUCCGUAGCUGGUCUGAGAGGAUCAUCAGCCACACUGGAACUGAGACACGGUCCAGACUCCUACGGGAGGCAGCAGUGGGGAAUAUUGGACAAUGGGCGCAAGCCUGAUCCAGCCAUACCGCGUGGGUGAAGAAGGCCUUCGGGUUGUAAAGCCCUUUUGUUGGGAAAGAAAAGCAGCAGGUUAAUACCCCGCUGUUCUGACGGUACCCAAAGAAUAAGCACCGGCUAACUUCGUG